GUUUAAUCCAGUUCCUGAGCCUGGAUUAAAUAAAUGAAACAGCUGAAGCCUAGAGGUGACGCUGCUGGUCUGGGCAGCAUACUUUGGAAACUACUGAUCCAGCCACACCCUCGAUUGUUCUGUGCACCAGCAGCAUCAACAUCACCUGGAAGCGAGUGAGAAGUGCAGGUGCUCUGGCCCACACCAGACCUGCUGAAUCAGAAUCUGCAUGAAAAAGAGCCUCAGGAUGGCUACUAGAGACUUUAAAAUGACAUAAGCCACUCCCAUUAUGUUUCUAUUGGACAGUGCUAGACAAGGGAUUAAAUAACAGUGGAGAUGCAACUGGAGAAGUUGAUUGGAUCCCAAGCUUGGAAGGCCUUGAAGAACAUUUACGAAUCACCCUGAGUGUGCCAAAUUUUGCCCACAACUUAUAGAAAUAUACAAUGUCUCCACUCAAGGUUCACGGCUUUUAUAUUGCCUGGCUUCAGCAGAAUCCGAGCUAUUCUCCUGGAAUCCAACCAGCAAGCUGUUAUCAGAAUUCUCCAGCCACUCCUGGAUACCAUUGCCAACAAGCUGGAAAGAAUUGUGCAGGAGAAAUGCCAGCCUUGCUGAAUCAAGCAACUUCUUCAACCCAAAGUUGACUGAAGUAGAUGUUGUUAUGCACAGAUACCCUGGAACAGUGAUUGGUGGCUGUCUCUUCUGUCCCAGUAUGCUUAGAGGAGUCGGUUCAUUUCUGUGAGUAACGGUAGCUUUCCAUCGUGGGGUAUCUAAAUAGGGGAAGAUUGUUGGGGGUGGAAGUGAAGUAUCAGAAC